rnacentral:rRNA from 1 species
UGGGGAAUAUUGGACAAUGGGCGCAAGCCUGAUCCAGCAAUGCCGCGUGUGUGAAGAAGGCCUUCGGGUUGUAAAGCACUUUUAUCAGGAGCGAAACGCUGUCGGCUAAUACCCGGCGGAACUGACGGUACCUGAGGAAUAAGCACCGGCUAACUUCGUGCCAGCAGCCGCGGUAAUACGAAGGGUGCAAGCGUUAAUCGGAAUUACUGGGCGUAAAGCGUGCGUAGGCGGUUUCUUAAGUCUGCUGUGAAAUCCCCGGGCUCAACCUGGGAAUGGCAGUGGAUACUGGGAGGCUAGAGUGUGUCAGAGGGUGGUGGAAUUCCCGGUGUAGCGGUGAAAUGCGUAGAGAUCGGGAGGAACAUCAGUGGCGAAGGCGGCCACCUGGGACAACACUGACGCUGAGGCACGAAAGCGUGGGGAGCAAACAGGAUUAGAUACCCUGGUAGUCCACGCCCUAAACGAUGCGAACUGGAUGUUGGUCUCAACUCGGAGAUCAGUGUCGAAGCUAACGCGUUAAGUUCGCCGCCUGGGGAAGUACGGUCGCAAGACUGAAACUUAAAUGAAUUGACGGGGUCA